rnacentral:rRNA from 1 species
UACGGAGGAUGCGAGCGUUAUCCGGAUUUAUUGGGUUUAAAGGGUGCGUAGGCGGCUUAGUAAGUCAGCGGUGAAAUUUUGCAGCUUAACUGUAACAGUGCCGUUGAUACUGCCAGGCUAGGAUUUGGUUGCUGUGGGUGGAAUGUGUGGUGUAGCGGUGAAAUGCUUAGAUAUCACACAGAAUAUCGAUUGCGAAGGCAGCUCACAAAGCCAAGAUUGACGCUGAGGCACGAAAGUGUGGGGAGUCAAACAGGA